CCCUUAGAUGUUCUGGGCCGCACGCGCGCUACAAUGAUGAAUUCAACGAGUUUAUAACCUUGGUUGAAAAGCCUGGGUAAUCUUUUGAACUUUCGUCGUGAUGGGGCUAGACCCUUGCAAUUAUUGGUCUCCAACGAGGAAUUCCUAGUAAACGCAAGUCAUCAGCUUGCAUUGAUUACGUCCCUGCCCUUUGUACGCACCGCCCGUCGCACCUACCGAUUGAAUGGUCCGGUGAAAUCUUCGGAUUGAGACUUUGUUUUCUUCACGGAAAACGCUGUUUUAAAAAGUUGAUUAAACCUUACCAUUUAGAGGAAGGUGAAGUCGUAACA
rnacentral:rRNA from 1 species